UACAGAGGGGGCAAGCGUUGUUCGGAAUUACUGGGCGUAAAGGGCGCGUAGGCGGCCUUCUAAGUCGAACGUGAAAUCCCUCGGCUCAACCGAGGAACUGCAUCCGAUACUGGCGGGCUUGAAUCCGGGAGAGGGAUGUGGAAUUCCAGGUGUAGCGGUGAAAUGCGUAGAUAUCUGGAGGAACACCGGUGGCGAAGGCGGCAUCCUGGACCGGUAUUGACGCUGAGGCGCGAAAGCUAGGGGAGCAAAGCGGG
rnacentral:rRNA from 1 species